GCUCUUCCCCAGGGGUUAUGGAGGUCGGCACCUUUGCCCUGUGGCCAGGGUUGCCAUUACCUACAGUUUACGGACUUGACCUCAGUUACACUGUUGCCCUAGAUCCCCAGAUACAUUGAUGUGCUCCAACUACAAAAAACUUAAUACCUUUCUUCAACGUGCCUUCCCAUCUUUAACACACCUGUUCACUAUCUGGAAUUCUCUCAUCUUCAUCAGAUGAACUGACCACUUUCUCUUCCAACAGACAGUCUGCCUCAAAGGUUUCCACCUGGCUGAACCUGGGAAGCUGCAAAAGGCACUAAUGUCUGGUUCUUCUCAUCUACUCCACUCUCCACCCACCCGCAGAGGUUCUGAUUUGAGGAUCUGCAGCCUGCAUGUUGGGAUUUGUUUUUUAAGCUUUCCAGAUCCCUCUAAUAUACAGCCACGGUUGAGAACUACUGGUGCACAUGUGGAUGAACAUAUACACAAAGGUACAUAUCCUUUUGUUUUUCCACACAAGUGGUAGCACACUCUCUGCAUUAUUCUGUACUUUGAUAUUUUACAUAAUGUAGCAUUUGUAUUGGUUUUCUGUUGCAGUCAGAGACAUUAAAAUCAACUUAAUGGUUUAAACAACACAA